GUACACAAAAAUGCACAUAUUGUGAGCUCGAUGAGUAGGGCGGGACACGUGGUAUCCUGUCUGAAUAUGGGGGGACCAUCCUCCAAGGCUAAAUACUCCUGACUGACCGAUAGUGAACCAGUACCGUGAGGGAAAGGCGAAAAGAACCCCGGCGAGGGGAGUGAAAAAGAACCUGAAACCGUGUACGUACAAGCAGUGGGAGCCUCUUUAUGGGGUGACUGCGUACCUUUUGUAUAAUGGGUCAGCGACUUAUAUUCUGUAGCAAGGUUAACCGAAUAGGGGAGCCGAAGGGAAACCGAGUCUUAACUGGGCGUUAAGUUGCAGGGUAUAGACCCGAAACCCGGUGAUCUAGCCAUGGGCAGGUUGAAGGUUGGGUAACACUAACUGGAGGACCGAACCGACUAAUGUUGAAAAAUUAGCGGAUGACUUGUGGCUGGGGGUGAAAGGCCAAUCAAACCGGGAGAUAGCUGGUUCUCCCCGAAAGCUAUUUAGGUAGCGCCUCGUGAAUUCAUCUCCGGGGGUAGAGCACUGUUUCGGCAAGGGGGUCAUCCCGACUUACCAACCCGAUGCAAACUGCGAAUACCGGAGAAUGUUAUCACGGGAGACACACGGCGGGUGCUAACGUCCGUCGUGAAGAGGGAAACAACCCAGACCGCCAGCUAAGGUCCCAAAGUCAUGGUUAAGUGGGAAACGAUGUGGGAAGGCCCAGACAGCCAGGAUGUUGGCUUAGAAGCAGCCAUCAUUUAAAGAAAGCGUAAUAGCUCACUGGUCGAGUCGGCCUGCGCGGAAGAUGUAACGGGGCUAAACCAUGCACCGAAGCUGCGGCAGCGACACUAUGUGUUGUUGGGUAGGGGAGCGUUCUGUAAGCCUGUGAAGGUGGCCUGUGAGGGUUGCUGGAGGUAUCAGAAGUGCGAAUGCUGACAUAAGUAACGAUAAAGCGGGUGAAAAGCCCGCUCGCCGGAAGACCAAGGGUUCCUGUCCAACGUUAAUCGGGGCAGGGUGAGUCGACCCCUAAGGCGAGGCCGAAAGGCGUAGUCGAUGGGAAACAGGUUAAUAUUCCUGUACUUGGUGUUACUGCGAAGGGGGGACGGAGAAGGCUAUGUUGGCCGGGCGACGGUUGUCCCGGUUUAAGCGUGUAGGCUGGUUUUCCAGGCAAAUCCGGAAAACCAAGGCUGAGGCGUGAUGACGAGGCACUACGGUGCUGAAGCGACAAAUGCCCUGCUUCCAGGAAAAGCCUCUAAGCAUCAGGUAACAUCAAAUCGUACCCCAAACCGACACAGGUGGUCAGGUAGAGAAUACCAAGGCGCUUGAGAGAACUCGGGUGAAGGAACUAGGCAAAAUGGUGCCGUAACUUCGGGAGAAGGCACGCUGAUAUGUAGGUGAAGCGACUUGCUCGUGGAGCUGAAAUCAGUCGAAGAUACCAGCUGGCUGCAACUGUUUAUUAAAAACACAGCACUGUGCAAACACGAAAGUGGACGUAUACGGUGUGACGCCUGCCCGGUGCCGGAAGGUUAAUUGAUGGGGUUAGCGGUAACGCGAAGCUCUUGAUCGAAGCCCCGGUAAACGGCGGCCGUAACUAUAACGGUCCUAAGGUAGCGAAAUUCCUUGUCGGGUAAGUUCCGACCUGCACGAAUGGCGUAAUGAUGGCCAGGCUGUCUCCACCCGAGACUCAGUGAAAUUGAACUCGCUGUGAAGAUGCAGUGUACCCGCGGCAAGACGGAAAGACCCCGUGAACCUUUACUAUAGCUUGACACUGAACAUUGAGCCUUGAUGUGUAGGAUAGGUGGGAGGCUUUGAAGUGUGGACGCCAGUCUGCAUGGAGCCGACCUUGAAAUACCACCCUUUAAUGUUUGAUGUUCUAACGUUGGCCCGUAAUCCGGGUUGCGGACAGUGUCUGGUGGGUAGUUUGACUGGGGCGGUCUCCUCCUAAAGAGUAACGGAGGAGCACGAAGGUUGGCUAAUCCUGGUCGGACAUCAGGAGGUUAGUGCAAUGGCAUAAGCCAGCUUGACUGCGAGCGUGACGGCGCGAGCAGGUGCGAAAGCAGGUCAUAGUGAUCCGGUGGUUCUGAAUGGAAGGGCCAUCGCUCAACGGAUAAAAGGUACUCCGGGGAUAACAGGCUGAUACCGCCCAAGAGUUCAUAUCGACGGCGGUGUUUGGCACCUCGAUGUCGGCUCAUCACAUCCUGGGGCUGAAGUAGGUCCCAAGGGUAUGGCUGUUCGCCAUUUAAAGUGGUACGCGAGCUGGGUUUAGAACGUCGUGAGACAGUUCGGUCCCUAUCUGCCGUGGGCGCUGGAGAACUGAGGGGGGCUGCUCCUAGUACGAGAGGACCGGAGUGGACGCAUCACUGGUGUUCGGGUUGUCAUGCCAAUGGCACUGCCCGGUAGCUAAAUGCGGAAGAGAUAAGUGCUGAAAGCAUCUAAGCACGAAACUUGCCCCGAGAUGAGUUCUCCCUGACUCCUUGAGAGUCCUGAAGGAACGUUGAAGACGACGACGUUGAUAGGCCGGGUGUGUAAGCGCAGCGAUGCGUUGAGCUAACCGGUACUAAUGAACCGUGAGG
rnacentral:rRNA from 1 species